CCCGUCUAUAAGCCCAUCAAAUUACUAACGUUCACACCAUUCCGUAUAUAAGCCCCCCCCCGAAUAUAAGCCCACCCCUACAUAAGCCCACCCGUAUAUAAGCCCAUCACACUAUAAUACCGGUAAAUUACACAAAAAAAUCCACUACAUUGCAUUAAUUAAAUUUCAACUAAGACUACGUCUACGGUAUGUAUUUAUUUAAACAAAGGUUAUAAAGGAUUACAAAACACUUGACAGUUUGUGCAGUUUCGGUCCGUAAAUAUAGUACGUGUUUUCUUACUAUUAACCUAAGAUGUGGUCCGUGUAUAAGCCCCCCCCCCCAUGUAUAAGCCCAUCAAAAAAGGCUUAUGAAAUUAUAUAAGCCCAGGGCUUAUAUUCGGAAGUUUACGGUA